GACGAAGGGCUCGACUGUUAUUCGUUUUGAUUGGGUGUAAAGGGUAAGUAGGCGGUCAAUUGAUCAGUAUCGGGCUAAAGCGCGGAGUGUUCCUACGCGAGAGCCCGAGUCUCUGGGAUUACGACUAGUGUUGAGGGGAGGUUUAGGCAAAUUGGUACGUAAGGAGUAAAAUCCAUCGAUGUACGAAUGAACGCCGGCUGGCAAAGGGCGCUUUUCUUGACUCAACAGACGCUGAGGUACGGAAGCGUAGGGAGCAAACGGG
rnacentral:rRNA from 1 species